GAUGAACGCUGGCGGCGUGCCUAAUACAUGCAAGUCGAGCGAACGGACGAGAAGCUUGCUCUUCUGAUGUUAGCGGCGGACGGGUGAGUAACACGUGGAUAACCUACCUAUAAGACUGGGAUAACUUCGGGAAACCGGAGCUAAUACCGGAUAAUAUUUUGAACCGCAUGGUUCAAUAGUGAAAGACGGUCUUGCUGUCACUUAUAGAUGGAUCCGCGCUGCAUUAGCUAGUUGGUAAGGUAACGGCUUACCAAGGCAACGAUGCGUAGCCGACCUGAGAGGGUGAUCGGCCACACUGGAACUGAGACACGGUCCAGACUCCUACGGGAGGCAGCAGUAGGGAAUCUUCCGCAAUGGGCGAAAGCCUGACGGAGCAACGCCGCGUGAGUGAUGAAGGUCUUCGGAUCGUAAAACUCUGUUAUUAGGGAAGAACAUAUGUGUAAGUAACUGUGCACAUCUUGACGGUACCUAAUCAGAAAGCCACGGCUAACUACGUG
rnacentral:rRNA from 1 species